CAUCAUUAGCUUAUAACUACCAACAAUGUCACACAAAUCAGAGGUAGCAGAGAGAAGAUCAGAGAAGAGAGAGAAAACCCCAUCUUCUCCCUAAACCCAAACCGAUCUCUUAUUAUUUCCCAAACUCCAAAAAUGAGGAUGAGGAGCUCUGUUCCUCUCACUCUUCUCCUAAUUCUCUCAUCUCUCCCACUCCCCUCCCUCUCCGCCGUCGACACCUUCGUCUUCGGCGGCUGCACCCAGCUCCGGUACCUCCCCAACUCCCCCUACGAGUCAAACCUCAACUCGCUACUCACCUCCCUGGUCAACUCAGCCACCUACUCGUCCUACAACAACUUCACCAUCCAGGCCUCCUCCCCACAGGACGCCCUGUACGGCCUCUACCAGUGCCGCGGCGACCUCUCCAUGCCCGACUGCGCCACCUGCAUCGCACGCGCCGUCACCCAGCUCGGCGGCCUCUGCUCCUCCACGUGCGGCGGCGCCCUCCAGCUCGACGGCUGCUACGUCAAGUACGACAACUCCACGUUCCUGGGCGUCGAGGACAAGACGGUGGUGCUCAAGAAGUGCGGGCCCUCCGUCGGGUACGAGGAGGAGGCCAUGGCGCGCCGGGACGCGGUGCUCGCCGCGCUGGCGGGGUCCAGUGGGGCCUACCGCGUGGGUGGGGCCGGGAAGGUGCAGGGCGUGGCGCAGUGCGUGGGGGAUCUGAGCGCGCCCGAGUGCGGGGACUGCGUCGGCGAGGCCAUCGGACGGCUCAAAAGCGACUGCGGGACUGCGGAUUAUGGGGACAUGUUUUUGGGGAAGUGCUACGCGAGAUACUCCACUCAUGGGCCUCCGUUUUUUUCCAAGGCCCAUCAUGGUAAGCCCUCGUUUCUCGCUCCAAUUUCCAGCUUCCUCCUGAUGAUAAAUCCGGCGGUGGCGGUGAUGGGGAGAAGACAUUUGCGAUUAUCAUUGGCCUUCUAGCGGGAGUUGCUCUCGUCAUUAUUUUUCUCGUCUUCAUAAGAAAGGUGUUCCAAGGAUCUGGUAAAUAAUAAUUAAACAGCAAAUGGAAAAGCUUUAUUAAAAGGAGUUGGAUUAUCUUUUGGGUUCCACUUUUCCUCUACAUUUUUAUUUUCUCUCCUUUAUUGGUUUUGGAUUUGGUGUUUCCAAGAGAACUUUGUGUAAUAUGUUUAUUAUUACUUUACUUGGCUCAAAAGAAAACCCACAUAGAGAAGAAACAACACAAAAAAAGCUGUAUCCCCAUUCCCUCUCUACUGUGGAAACUGUGGCACAUUCUUUGUAAAACAUCAUAUGCAGAAAAUUUUUCAUUUUUUUAAUCAUAAUAUUAUUCUACUUACUUUUGGAGUUCA